rfam:Otolemur garnettii contig174309, whole genome shotgun sequence.
GUGCCUGUGGCUCAAAGGAGUAGGGCGCUGGCCCCAUAUGCCAGAAGUGGCAGGUUCAAACCCAGCCCUGGCCA